AAUGAACGCUGGCGGCAUGCCUUACACAUGCAAGUCGAACGGUAACAGGUCUUCGGAUGCUGACGAGUGGCGAACGGGUGAGUAAUACAUCGGAACGUGCCUAGUAGUGGGGGAUAACUACUCGAAAGAGUGGCUAAUACCGCAUGAGAUCUACGGAUGAAAGCAGGGGAUCGCAAGACCUUGUGCUACUAGAGCGGCCGAUGGCAGAUUAGGUAGUUGGUGGGAUAAAAGCUUACCAAGCCGACGAUCUGUAGCUGGUCUGAGAGGACGAUCAGCCACACUGGGACUGGGACACGGCCCAGACUCCUACGGGAGGCAGCAGUGGGGAAUUUUGGACAAUGGGCGCAAGCCUGAUCCAGCAAUGCCGCGUGCAGGAUGAAGGCCUUCGGGUUGUAAACUGCUUUUGUACGGAACGAAAAGCCCCGGGUUAAUACCCUGGGGUCAUGACGGUACCGUAAGAAUAAGCACCGGCUAACUACGUGCCAGCCGCCGCGGUAA
rnacentral:rRNA from 1 species